rnacentral:rRNA from 1 species
GGAAAAGAAACCAACAGGGAUUGCCUCAGUAACGGCGAGUGAAGCGGCAUAAGCUCAAAUUUGAAAUCUGGCUCUUUCAGAGUCCGAGUUGUAAUUUGUAGAAGAUGCUUCGGGUGUGGUUCCGGUCUAAGUUCCUUGGAACAGGACGUCAUAGAGGGUGAGAAUCCCGUAUGUGACUGGAUACCUUCGCCCAUGUGAAGCUCUUUCGACGAGUCGAGUUGUUUGGGAAUGCAGCUCAAAAUGGGUGGUAAAUUUCAUCUAAAGCUAAAUAUUGGCCAGAGACCGAUAGCGCACAAGUAGAGUGAUCGAAAGAUGAAAAGCACUUUGGAAAGAGAGUUAAACAGUACGUGAAAUUGUUGAAAGGGAAGCGCUUGCAAUCAGACUUGCGUCUAGUUGAUCAUCCUGGCUUCUGCUUGGUGCACUCAACUAGACUCAGGCCAGCAUCGGUUUGGGUGGUUGGAUAAAGGCCUUGGGAAUGUAGCCCUCUUCGGGGGGUGUUAUAGCCCUCGGUGCAAUGCAGCCUACCUGGACCGAGGACCGCGCUUCGGC